CGUAGCUCAGCUGGAUAGAGCGUUGUCCUCCGAAGGCAAAGGUCACACGUUCGAAUCGUGUCGCCGAU
rnacentral:tRNA from 3 species